UGGGGAAUUUUGGACAAUGGGCGCAAGCCUGAUCCAGCCAUGCCGCGUGCGGGAAGAAGGCCUUCGGGUUGUAAACCGCUUUUGUCAGGGAAGAAAUCUUCUGAGUUAAUACCUCGGGAGGAUGACGGUACCUGAAGAAUAAGCACCGGCUAACUACGUGCCAGCAGCCGCGGUAAUACGUAGGGUGCAAGCGUUAAUCGGAAUUACUGGGCGUAAAGCGUGCGCAGGCGGUUUUGUAAGACAGAGGUGAAAUCCCCGGGCUCAACCUGGGAACUGCCUUUGUGACUGCAAGGCUUGAGUGCGGCAGAGGGGGGAUGGAAUUCCGCGUGUAGCAGUGAAAUGCGUAGAUAUGCGGAGGAACACCGAUGGCGAAGGCAAUCCCCUGGGCCUGCACUGACGCUCAUGCACGAAAGCGUGGGGAGCAAACAGGAUUAGAUACCCUGGUAGUCCACGCCCUAAACGAUGUCAACUGGUUGUUGGGAAGGUUCCUUCUCAGUAACGUAGCUAACGCGUGAAGUUGACCGCCUGGGGGAGUACGGCCGCAAGGUU
rnacentral:rRNA from 1 species